CAGGGCGGGCGGCUCGGCCCGGCAGGGCUGGGGUGCCGGGCUCCCCCGGCCACACCUGGGCGCCCUCCCCGCCUCGGGCCCCCCUGAGCCGCCGCCCCGGAUCCUGUUCCCUGCCUCGGGCUUUUUCCUUCUACCCAGGAGUUACGGAAAACUCCGUCACGCCUCACAGACAAAGGGGCAAUGGCUUUAAAAUUAAAGAGGAUUGAUUUAGAUUAGAUAUUAGCAAGAAAUUCUUUACUGUGAGGAUGGUAAGGCACUGGAAGAGGUUGCUCAGAAAAGCUGUGGAUGACCCAUCCCUGAAGUAUUCAAGGCCAGGUUGGAUAGGGCUCUGUGCUACCUGCUCUACUGUGGGGUGUUCUUCUCGAUGGUGGGGGGGGGUGUGGGGUGUGGAACUAGAUGGUCUUUAAGGUCCCUUCCAACUCAAACCAUUCUGUGAUUCUAUUACAAUUCUGUGAUUUCCAUGGCUCUCAGAACCGUAGUCAUUACUUAACUACACACAGUUCAACUAACCAGCACAUCUUCUGUACCAGAGAGGGGGUUUUCCCUCAGUAGUAUGGAUAAAAGGUAGUGGUGGAGGGAAAACGUUGCAUCUUCUACCCGAAGUGACCAGUGAGUCUGUACUGCUGGUUGCAGUGGGCCAGCUGCACACAGAUGUUGCAAGGAGAUUGACUGCAUGGACACUGCAUCACUGAGGUGAUGGCAAACUUCAGCCACACUAAAAAGGAUGUAUCAUCCACUGUGCAUCCAAGUGGCUGCACAGCUGCCCUCAAAGCUUGUUCCCUGGGUUCCCCAUAAUACUUUCAUAGACAUGCUGCCUCCUACCUUUUAAGUACCCCUGCUUCUCAUCUAAUAGGUGGGAAAUGAGAUGGGGUUUCCUGCAAAUGUGUGAUGUAUUAUUUUGUGUCCUGUAGCAGCAACUGCAAAUGUUAGUUGUGAGUCUUGAAGGGAAAAAGGAGCCGAAUUAAAAAUAGAAAUGUCUGUUUCAAGGCUUUUGGAAGCCUUUUGUUUACUUCCUGCAUAGCAGCACCUUGCUCAACUGCAACCAUUUCUGCCACCAGGCACGUUCUUGCAGCAUACAUGCAGCACGUGAACCUACACAUUACUGCAGAGUGUAUUUUUCAAAGACCAUUCUUGGGGUACCAUCACAAAAACAUCCAAAACACCCUCCUACACAGAUGAAGUGACCGGUGAUAACAUUACGACUCACCUUUCCUACAGGGAAGCAGUAGCUCUGCUACUCAAACAAAGCUGUAUUCCACUCUACAGACCUGAAAGUUUGAUUGCCAAGGUUAAAAAUACACAGUGGAGGUUUUGAAUUCUAAUUUUUGGAUGAGAAGCCUGAUGUUCCUCACUUCAGAGCAUCUGACUGACUCAGACUAUAACAAUCAAAUUAUGUAAACUGCAUUAUUUAAAACAUAUUUUAUUAUUUAAUGGCUCACUUUCCACAUAUCACUUGUGCACUGUUAUCAUCAGACAGUUAUGCCAAUUUCUUUCCACACUUUUCUUGGAAGCCCUUGCCACAUUAUUUUUCCUUAAGCACAAAGGUCUGAACAAGCCUCAAGCCUGUAAAUAAGAGUAGCCCAGACUAGGAAGGCAACUUUUGUUCAUGUCAACAUGUAUUUUGAGAAAUCAUUGAGAAAUUAUCUUGAGAAAAUAGGUAUUUUGAAGUAAUGGUUACCUACAUAGAAGAAGCUGCCCAGGCUGACAUUAGAUCUCCAGGCUAGCUUCCAGAAUAAUUCCAGGAUGCUGUUAAGCCCAGGUAAUAACAAAUCGCAUACAAUAUUAAGAUUCUAAAUAUCAACUGGAAACAGACAACCACUUUAACUUAAGUUGUUCACCCUUACUUGAAACUCUAAGGGUAAAAACUCUGAAUUACAGCAUGUUGCUGUGUGAACCUAACUCAGCUUUGGUCACUGGAAAAUGUCCUGGUUGUUUAGUAGUUAAUCCAUGGAUGUAAGGCAAACUGAUCAGUGACACCAGACGCUAGGUAAGGGGAAGAAUAACAGGUUGGCUCAAACUCCUCAAGAUGAGCAGCUGCACAAAAGCUUGUGCCAGGAUCAGGGGGGGACCCUUCAGGUCUCAGGAUAUGCUAAGCAGCCAGGGGCAAUUUUCUUUGGCAAUGGUGCCAUCCCAAGGUGCUUGCUGAUUCCUUUAUACCAUCCUACCCAGCACAUGGAACAUCCAAUCACAGCAGACCAAGCAAGCCUCCGGAAGGAGAGUGCCUUAGAGGAGCUUUAUCUAAAGCCUGGGUGAUAACAGGUGUUUGAAGAGAGUCUUGCUUCAUCAAGGAAAAGUUCAGCAACCUGCAGGUCUGAGUGCAGUCACAUGAGAAUGCUCAGCCUUGUGAGGCUUCAUAUCAAGCUAGAUUUCUUUAUCUGGUAGAUAGUGACUGAGAGGGAGCUGAGAAGGACCGCUUUCUUGGUAUAAAAGCAGAGCCUAUCGUAGCAACAGUACUGCUUCACUGCCAGACAGCAAUCAUCUGUUUCCAAGUGAAGAGAAAAAGAACAGGUGCGUUUAUUUUUCCACACUGACUGGCAAAAUUCCACCAUUAAAAAAAAAUAAUCUCUAUCUGCUAAAACUACAUUACCCAUUCAGACAAAAGAAGCAGACAGAAAGUUUCAUAUUAGGUCUUUGAAGACUAAUAUUAAACUUUUUAGGACAACUGCUGUAGGAGAUUUGAAAUUGAGUAUGUGAGCAGCUCUAGCCACCUAGUCAUGAAAUAGCUUGUAACAGUUAACAUUUUGGUGACAAUGUAAUUGCCAAACCUCCAAACAUAACAAGAACUUAUAUUUAUUCCAGAUCAGAGAAAUCUGAUAAAAAAUGUAUCUUUGGAUACAAUUUAAGCAAGCCGAGAGUGGUGAACAGACAUGGCAUGUUUACAAAGGGAUUUUAACAUUGGUAGAGGCGGUAAAAAUUAUUGUAUAAGGUUUAGUUCUGCAAAUAGGUCCACUGACUUAAAGACUAAGCAAAGCACCAUUUCUACACUUGGCUCCAGGUGGCCAUAUUCCUAGCAAGACAACAUUGAAGCAAACAGGAUUCAGGAAUCAACCACCCAAGUUGGACCAGUUUCACAAGAUUUAGCUACCUCUGCAGUUUUUCACAGGAGGAGGAGGAGGACAGCUGUUGGUGCUUCACUUGUAGUUACUGCAAUAGCAAAAAUAGCAAAUUGCUGCAGUCUCCUAACCAGUCUGUUGUUCUGUCAAUUGAUUUUGAAAGAUGACUAUUAAAAUUAUUUUGUAGUCUGCAUUACAGGAAUGCUGUUGCACUGAAGCAAGCACAGCAAGUCCCUGCAAGAUGUCAGCUCAAGUGCAGAUAAGCUCUAAGUCACUACUUGAACACGUUGCACAAUAAAUGUUUUCAUAAGGAUUAUGUGAAUUCCUGCAGUAGCCAAAUUUCCUUCAAUUAUCACAUUAUAUCUCAUUCUACAACUACAGCAAUGGGGAGAUUAAAAAGAAAUAUUCACUGUACUGUUCAUAAAACAAGUAAAUGGGUCUUAAGUGCCUUGAAACUGGCCAUUCCUACCAUGAUGCAUUAUCACUAAAUCAGCUGCCCUCGUCUCUCCAUUUUUUUAUUUUCUACAGCAACCCUACUGCAACUGCUGGAAGAAGCUACCUCCUGACCCCUUUUAACACUGAGCAGUGAAUAUAAGCAUGAUGUGGAACACCCACCAGUAUGCAAAGGAACAACCUCUUCACCUCCAAGGAGGACCUGUGACAAACAUGCCCAGCCUACAAGCUCCUCUCUGGACAGUAGUGACAUGCUUUGCACUGGGGAGCAGGAACCAGGGCUGUGCAGGCCGAGAUAAUUAGACUCCUCUCUGUACUUGGACUGCGACCAUCUCCACAGACAAAUGGAGAAAAAGCCCUAAAGCAAACAUGCCAGAGCAGAAAUCAACCUGAAAGCUGGCAGAAAUACAUGAACCCCUCUUCAAACCAUUACAUCUUUGAAACAAUGGGCAAAGUUCAGGUCCAGCUGAUGACAACCAUUUCUUCCCCACCUGCUCUUCAUAUGCCUUUGGCAUGUCCCAUGUCCUCAGGGUCACCUCAGCAGCUGGUUGCAGCAGAGGAGCCCACAGGCAGCUCCUGCUCAGCACCAGCCACAGAACCAACCUCCACAUCCUUUCCCAGAAGUGAAGCCAAAAGUUCUCACCUCAACAACCUUUAGGAGUGGAAUUGUUUUCUCUUAAGAAAAUAUGUAAUAGCUCAAAGGACCAGAAGCGAGGAACAUCUCCAUAGAUGGGAACUGCACAGUGUGUCUGGGUAAAAUACCAUGCAGGCUCCAUUCAUUGCUGAACCAAUGCAUCGUGCUCAGCAUCAGAAGGGACAUAAGGUCUCUUCACGAUCUAGAUUCCUCUUUUUAUUCUAUCUUAUUAAAAUGCCUACUUUAUUAAGC